GACGAACGCUGGCGGCGUGCCUAACACAUGCAAGUCGAACGGAACUGUUUUGAAAGAUUUCUUCGGAAUGAAUUUGAUUUAGUUUAGUGGCGGACGGGUGAGUAACGCGUGAGUAACCUGCCUUCAAGAGGGGGAUAACAUUCUGAAAAGAAUGCUAAUACCGCAUGACAUAUCGGAAUCACAUGAUUUUGAUAUCAAAGAUUUUAUCGCUUGAAGAUGGACUCGCGUCCGAUUAGUUAGUUGGUGAGGUAACGGCUCACCAAGACCGCGAUCGGUAGCCGGACUGAGAGGUUGAACGGCCACAUUGGGACUGAGACACGGCCCAGACUCCUACGGGAGGCAGCAGUGGGGGAUAUUGCGCAAUGGGGGCAACCCUGACGCAGCAACGCCGCGUGAAGGAUGAAGGUUUUCGGAUUGUAAACUUCUUUUAU
rnacentral:rRNA from 1 species